GGAAAACCAUAAGGUGGGGCCAAAGGAAGAAGGCUGCAAAAUCGUAGCCGGUAGCUCUAGCUGAGGGGACCCAUUUCUCAAUUAAAAGCCAAUAACUGCUUCAACUGCACAUCAUGCGCGUCAGAUAACGAGAAGGCGCUUUCUAAGUACCCACCUCACGGAGACUCCCACGCUUUGACCCCGACCAACUAUAUUAAUACCAACCAAAAGGGUCUCUACUCUACCUUUCCAUGGAUUCUCUCAAGGUGGAAGAAGCUCUCGGUUCUCGAACUAAUCAAGAAGCCGCUGCUGCUGCUGCUCCGAAUGGAAGAUCAGAGACGGCGUCGACUGAGAUGAACACGAAUGAGAACAGGAUUAAUAUUGAGAAAGAGAGGAAGAAGAAUAAGAAGAAGAAGUUGAGGAUUAAAUCUUCCUAUUUGCCGAAAAUUGGAUGCUUGAGGAUUGAACAGGAUGAGGAAGGGAAUUUUGAUGCGGCGGUGGAUACUAUCGGAGAGCCGGCCAAUCCGGCUCAUCUGGUUGUAAUGGUUAAUGGCAUCAUUGGCAGCGCUGAGAAUUGGAAAUUCGCCGCCAAGCAGUUCUUGAAUAAAUAUCCCCGAGAUGUUAUAGUUUACUGCAGCAAAACUAAUUCUGGAACAUUGACAUUUGAUGGUGUUGACGUAAUGGGAGCAAGAUUAGCAGAAGAGGUUAUAUCAGUGAUAAAACGUCACCCCUCUGUUAAGAAGAUUUCAUUCAUAGGUCAUUCUUUGGGUGGGCUAGUAGCAAGAUAUGCUAUUGCUAAGCUCUAUGGACAUGAUCUCACGAAGGAACUUUCUCAAGGAAAUGGAGACUGUAAAAGUGAUGUCAAUGGAGAUACGGGAAUGGAAGACAAAAUCAAAAAUAGAAUUGCUGGAUUGGAGCCAGUGAAUUUCAUAACCCUUGCUACCCCACAUCUUGGUUCAAGGUGGCAUAAACAAGUCCCCUUGUUUUGUGGCUCUUACACCAUGGAAAAAGUGGCCGCUCGUAUUUCAUGGUUUCUUGGUAGAACUGGAAAACAUCUGUUCUUGACUGAUGGUGACAAUGGAAAACCUCCUCUUCUUCUUCAAAUGGUUAGCGACUCUGAAGAUCUUAAAUUUAUGUCUGCUUUGCAGUCCUUCGAGCGUCAUGUUGCCUAUGCAAAUAUACGUUUUGACAGUAUCCUGUUACUCUAUUACAAUAUUUAUUAUCAGUAACUUUGAGUUGAGUUGAGUAUUAUCAGUAACUUUGUCUUUUUUAGAUGCCUAGUUGUAAAAAAAAGGCCAUUAUCAUUUAUGCAAGAUUUAUGAUGCUUAGGGGCAGUAUAUAAGAACAUAUUCAGCCAGUAGAUAUGGCCUUUUUAAGCACUGAAAAGAUUUCUCGUAAUUUUUCAUACUGUCUAUAUGGACAACUUGACAUCUUGUAGACCUUGUAGGAUGGAGCACAUCAUCUUUACGGUGGCAAAAUGAGCUUCCAAAGAGACGACAUCUUUCAAGAGAUGAGAAAUACCCACAUAUAGUGCACGUGGAACCAUCGACAACGUCUGGCCCUCAGCAAGAAUUCCCUUUGGAUGCCAAAGUUGAUGGAUGCAAGUCUGUUAAUAUGGAAGGUAUACCACGUAGUUGCCUCUUCAAGCUAAUUAAUUAAAUAGCAUCUUAAUAAGAAAUAUAAGGCAGCAUUAAGUUUAUUUCUCUACAUUACUUGGUAGUUACUUCUAGGUCUUGUGAGUUUAUCUAGGUAUCAGAAGAAAAUUCCAGUUAUUUUUGUGAUGAAAAGGAUUAGAGGCGCUGGACAAGUUUUUGUGAGAGAUCAGCUAAUGGAUUACCGAGCAGAAUGGCAGCUUUCCUGCAAGAAUGAUUUUAUCUUGAUCAGUAUAGUGUGACAUGGCUGUACAUCUUACCAUUUUGCAUGAAUUUUGCCACUUGCUGUGUCUCUCUCAUGUUAUGGCUGACUGUUCUGAUUAGUGAAUGAAUUUGUGAAUUUUAACAAUGGACAACUCUUCAUUGGGCACAAGUGCAGCCAAAAGAACUUUUUAGUUUUUAAAUAACAAAGAUCUUGCAGAAUCCUACUGCAACAAUCUUUGAUUUGGCUUUUUCCAUGUUGCCUUCAGAAGAUAGCAGUGCUAAUACAGGGCAAUGGAACAGAAAGAUGAAGAACGUAGAUUCUGUUUACAACUUUUCCAUAAAAAACCUAUUCAUAAUAUUAAAUGCACUUCUAUUCGUAGCUGAUCUUUGAUGAGAAUAAUGAGAUCAAUUUGACAGAUCUUUAUUAAUCUUUCACUCCCAUGUUAUCUUACUGACAGUGGACUUCCAACUACUUUUUAAUAAUGAUCUAAUAAUUUUGCAAUCCCUGUAGAGGAAAUGAUCCGAGCUUUGACGAAAGUGAACUGGGAACGGGUUGAUGUUAAAUUCAACGGAUUCAAACAAAGAAUGCUCGCACACAAUACUAUUCUGGUAAGAAGCUACUGUGUACAUUCUGAUGGAGCUGACGUGAUCCAACACAUGGUUGACAACUUUCUCCUAUAGAAGGUGCAUAAUGGUUGUAGUAACACUUAAGUCGGUGCUUUUCUCGGCCGAUGGCCCAUUCAAUUAAUUGCAUACUGAAGCGAAAGUGCAGUGACCUCAUUGUGUGAGGUCAGAAGUUAAAUUUCGCUGGGCCUGGCUUAUGCUGGUGAACGCCCACAGGUAAAGAAGGAAAUUUAAAACAGAGAAGAAGAGGAAGCAGGAGGAAUUGUUUUCGAACGGAGGCGUUAUAGGAACUCCAGGCACUAGCAAAAAUUCUUCUGUUAAAUUAAUUAAUAAGAAAAAUUCAUUAUUCUUUUUAUUCUCGUGUGCGUCAAAUUUCCAUGUGGCGAUAUAUAAUGUGGAUAAAUUAC
rnacentral:misc_RNA from 1 species